AGAAACAAGGCGCCCAUCAAAAUCUGCUCAUACUUUUUCCCCUAGCAGCAGCACAACUGUGUUAGGUGGCGGCUGCUGGUACUGUGAAGCACAGCACAAACCUGCAUGCUCACUACUUCUUGUAAAAUACAAGAAACAACGCGCACGUAAUUCUGUGCGGUCGGAAAAUCCGGAAUUCCGGAUGAAUCCGGAAAAACCACAUCCCUAAGUGAUGUCAGGUUUAAGGGCAUCCAGUGACUGACCUAGUGUGACCAGCUGUAACCAGAAAGUCUACAUCCUAACCCGGUGGUUUGUAAAAACAGUAAUCAGCGGUUGAUGAAGAUCGAAGAUGUCGAACGAAGACGCGCAGUGUGACCAGCAAUUGAUCCCCCCAGCUGUAUCAUCUCCUGUCAUCUGGACUAAAGGAAAGAUCGAGUGAUCCUGUUUCCAGCAGCAACCCAGAGCAACACUAAAAGCCACCCAACCCAAGAACAACCGGGAAACAUUAACCGGCCGCUCCGCUACCCACUAAUGGAUCGGACCCAUUUCAUCAGCAAUCUGACAUUUAAUGAAUAUAUAUUUUAUCUUCCCGUGCCAGUUAUCGGAAUGUCCUCCCCGUUCCGAGAAAUGGCCGCCCUGGGACUCUUUUGAACGGACCUUUUUUCCUUCGACUGGCACCUGUACGCCAAUCACACUCGCUGCAACCGGCCCACAAUCCUCUCUUGUUUUUUCCUCUUCCCUCUCUGUCUUCAAUAUGGUACGUGGAUUAAUAAUUCAUGGCCAGUUAUUAGGGCCAGUUCAAUAGGAGAUCUGCUGAUGGAGGGUCGGUGCUUGGCGAGCGUGCCCGGAGGGAUGCUGCGUGUUGUUGUGUCAGCCCCCAUCUGCCAGAAUGCAAUAAGGCAAACAAUGGAGGCCUUGAUUUCCACCAGCAGGCCCAUAAUCUUUAAAUGGCUAUUAGCUGAAGAGUGCAACCAGUCAAUAACCGACAAAAUCCUUUUAAAAGCUUCUGUCUCUCUCACUCUUUCUCCAUUCUUCUUAAUCUCUCUUUCUUUCUGCCUCUCAGUCUCUUUCUUCUCUCUUGUUUCUGGUCAAAUUGGGACACAGUUGCAACGAUAAAACUCUUAUCAUGAGAGUUUUUAAUGCCACCAGUGGAAGGAGGUGAAGUGAUCAAUGGCGGUGGUCAAAAUGGGGACAACUGAGGUCAACAUCCAUUUUCUAAUCAUCUCAGGAAUCAUUACACUCCAUCAAACCCCAUGUUGAGUGUGUGUGUGACCUCACAUUGGCUUGGUAUUGGUAUUUAUUGCCUUAAACUGGUAUCUUUGACCUCUAGGUUCUCUUAGAAAUGAAUCCUAAUAUUUCUAAUAAGUUUACCUUAAAGUUAUUUUCCCAUAUUUUUCUCAAUGCAAGAACAGAAAUGCAGAAGGGAAGACUGUUUCACUUGUCAAAAGACUCCUCUUGAUUCGAGUGACAGUGUCUUGAAAUAAGGCAGUUGUCGCCCAGUGACAUCGUAUGGAUGAUAUACUUAUGCUUUUGCCAUCAGUCACAUGAGAUGCAGCUUGAAAGAUAUUGAAUUACUGUUUACAAGGAUGAGAUUAAAUUGUUUUUAAUAUACAAUGUUAUGAAAGCAAUAACCUUUUUGAUAGCCGCAAUCAUAUCCUAAUAAAACUGAUAUUCAUUAGUGUCAGGGAAUAUUCCCUGCUUCCAAUCUCCUCGAACUAAUACACAACCUGAAUCACAGUGGCUGGUACACAAACAAAUCCUGUUGUCCUUCAUGGCUGACAAGGUAAACAACACAUGCUCUGGUCCAAUGACAGAUCACUUACUGUGCACUCUUUGACAGAGAGAGGGACUUUAUGUAUUGUAUUUGGAACAACAUGCAGUUAAAAAGUCAGAUUUCUACUGCUUCAUAUCAAAAAUGAUCAGAUCAUUCUAUACAUGCAAUGCUUCGAUACCAAUACGUAAUGAAUACUUGUACUGAGACCUCUCAAUUUCCUGUCUAUUUCACCCCUUUUGAGCCUUACUCUAUUAUAGAGCAAAAGCUCCACAUCCACAGAGAUUCAUGACACCACCCCAUUCUCUCUUACAUUUUCAGUUACUCGUUGAUGGAAGAUAGUGCUACAUUUCAGCUUCAAGUGGUCUAAAAGCAUUGUUCUCAAAAAACACAAAUUUACGUUUGCAAUGGAAUGCAUGCAUUAUGAAAUAUCUUUGUGUGACUUAUAUGGUUAAGAGAAGUGGCAGAGCUUGUAGCGGAGGGAAAACACUCAGUGUUGGUGCAAUUCCUACUGGCCUCCAAUAGGAGUCAACAAAGGUCAUACUGCAGAUUACUUAAAUUCUAAUGUGAUGCCCAAAAUCUUGAGUAUGAAACACUCACUCAAUGUAGGCUUGAAAGGUGGCUGUAAAAAGUUUGUAGUCAGCUCCUUUGCAGAUUGCAAUCAUGUCUGUGUCAGUGUACUCCAACAGCAUUUUUUUUAUUGUGGAAAAAAGUAUCAGUUCUUGCAAACUUCUUAAACCACUCCUGCAGCGUAAUCCACCUCUUCACUCCCCAGUCAAUAUUUUAGAAACACAACUUUUAACUAAAAUAUGGCUGAAUAGACUAUUCCUGUCCAAAUAAUCUUAAAUAAUUAAUAUAAUGUAAAUAAAAAUGUUUUGAAGUUAAGGAGUAUGGUCCACACACUGAUACUUUUGAGAAAAUAUCACAAAAUACACAGCUUCUGUAACAUGCUCCUCGUGAAUGAUCAUUCUUACAGAACCAGUGCAUUUAUCAAUCAUAUGUUGUCCCAUACUGUCUGAAAAAAACUGGUUAAGAAAACAAUAAACACAAAAAUGCUAGCUGACAGUCUCAUAAAUCACAUGACAAAAUUAUACAUUAUAAAUGCUUCAGAACCUUUCAAAAUGUUCUUUAGCUGCAUUAUGAAUUACAAUGUUUCCCAUAAUCAUAGAGGCAAACACUCACUCUGAUGUUACAAUACCAUGCUAUCACUCACUCUGUCCACAAUUCUUAGUCUGCCAAAAACACACUAAGAGCCAUGGAAGGAGUGAGUGAGUCCGUGAGUCAAAAACAUCACCUCAAACAGAUUGGCACGUAGGUUACCACAUUGUCACACAUCAGCACCGGUGUUUUGACAAGCCAGCGUGACCUCUGUGUUGCACAAUCACAUGAUCACAACUGGUCAGGUCAAAGGUCAAUGCUAAUGGAUGGUGUAGCAAGGGAAGCAGCUUUAUGUCAGGGUGUGAGCGUGUAUAUGUGUGUUUGUGCUGCGGGUUUGAGGCCAUACUCUCAUAAAGACUGUGGGAGUUUCCUGUUAUGUGGUAGUUAUUUUGCUGUGCGUGAUAUAAGAACUGACACUUUUUCAAAGUGGUAUUUUGUAAUAUGAAAGUAGUUUGCUAUUGGUUUUAGGAUCCUAACUCAGGUACAUAAAAUAAUGGACUACAUUUACAAUCUGUUUAGAGCCUAAAUGACAUUUUUUGACAUGUUUCAGUGUUUGGAUCUAACUUUUCUAUUUUGCUAAAGAAACAAAUUUCAUAAUUGCUCUCACCUACACAGGAAUAACAAUUAAAAUAAGAUAUAAUGAAUGUUAAA